UCUGGGUUCAUCUGUGGCUCGGCUGUUCUUUCUACAAGUUGGGGAGUUUGCCACAGCACGGUCCCUGCUAUCUAUCUUUGAAGUGUUCCACUCGCUGAGUUCUUAAGAAUGUUGAGAUUGUUUUCCAGAACUAUAUCUCAAAUCUCUAAUAUUGCCCUGGUAGGAGUCAAGGGGUGAAGAAGGUAAGGAAGCGCAUUCUGAGUGCGGGGAUACCAUAAAGCACACUGUAGCAGUGCGUCUGGUACACUCUCAUUUGAAAAUCUGCCUUUGAAACUUUCAGCAGAGAAGAAAACUGUCUAGUAUUCAAUUCACAUGAAAAUUUACUUCACUGGGUUCAUGUCAUAGUCCCAUGACUGUG
rnacentral:lncRNA from 1 species